GAANGCAUUUGCCAAGAACGUUUUCAUUAAUCAAGAACGAAAGCUUAGGGGAUCGAAGAUGAUCAGAUACCGUCGUAGUCUUAACCAUAAACUAUGCCGACUAGGGAUCGGGCGUUGUUCUUUUUAUGACUCGCUCGGCACCUUACGAGAAAUCAAAGUUUUUGGGUUCUGGGGGGAGUAUGGUCGCAAGGCUGAAACUUAAAGGAAUUGACGGAAGGGCACCACCAGGAGUGGAGCCUGCGGCUUAAUUUGACUCAACACGGGAAAUCUCACCAGGUCCAGACACAAUAAGGAUUGACAGAUUGAGAGCUCUUUCUUGAUUUUGUGGGUGGUGGUGCAUGGCCGUUCUUAGUUGGUGGAGUGAUUUGUCUGCUUAAUUGCGAUAACGAACGAGACCUUAACCUACUAAAUAGUGCUGUUAGCUUCGGCUGAACUGGCACUUCUUAGAGGGACUAUCGAUUUCAAGUCGAUGGAAGUUUGAGGCAAUAACAGGUCUGUGAUGCCCUUAGACGUUCUGGGCCGCACGCGCGCUACACUGACGGAGCCAGCAAGUACUAUCCUUGGCCGAAAGGUCCGGGUAAUCUCGUGAAACUCCGUCGUGCUGGGGAUAGAGCAUUGAAAUUAUUGCUCUUCAACGAGGAAUUCCUAG
rnacentral:rRNA from 1 species